CGCGGGGUGGAGCAGUCUGGUAGCUCGUCGGGCUCAUAACCCGGAGGUUGUCGGUUCGAAUCCGGCCCCCGCAACCA
rnacentral:tRNA from 1 species